AUAUAUGGAGAAGACACCAACAACAUCCGACGAAUUAAAACUUCUACAGGCCGGGAUGGGUCGGAAAACCAUCAAUGUCCCAGAGGAUGCUGACCAUUCAUGGCUGUCCAGAAAACUUGAAGAGAACUACCCUAAAAUGGCAGAAUUGAAAGGGUCAUGGAUGUUAUUUAAGGCUGUUGGAGGGUCUGGACAAAGAAAAUUGUGUAUCGUGCCCCCUGAGGCAGAAGGUUAUGCAG